GAAAGAGUGAGGAAGGGGGUGACACAGUGACAGAGUGAGGGAGGGGGUGACUAGUGACAGAGUGAAGGAGGUGGUGACUGUCACUAAUCACCACCUCCCUCACUCUGUCAUAGUCACCCCUUCCCUCCCUCACUGUCACUAGUCACCCCCUCCCUCUCUCUGUCACUAGUCACCCCUCCCUCUCUCUGUC